GUUCAAGCGAGCUUGAGCAGAGGCUCAAAGAGAAACUAAUAUGAUGGUAUAGUCUAUGCCCUAAGAAAUUAGAGAGAGCUUGUGUGCGCUACAAAGCCACUUCCAGACACCACGUUUCGGUUCGCUUUUUCAGUCAGGUUAACCUUGAUACACAAGCUACAUGAACUCCGCGCUAGCAGCCGAGGUAAUACGGGGGGGGCUAGCGUGAUUCGAAAUGAUUGGGCUACAAGGGCAUGUAGGCUGUCUAUAAUCUUCAUGUGGCAAGGUUGUUAUUUAGAAAGAUAGCCUUUGUGAAAUCCCUAAGUUUCUUUUAGGAAGCGCACUUGUUAACAAAAGAUAUAGACUUGAGCAAGCAAGAAGAGAGUGGAAUUCUUAGAGGAGAGGUUCAAUUUGUAGAUACUAGGAGGAACGCCUAAAGCGAAGGCAGCUCUCUAAUGCUUCACUGAUGCUGAUAUGCGAAAGCGUGGGGAGCGAAUGGGAUUAGAUACCCCAGUAGUCCACACCCUCAACCAUGAACACUAUCAAAUCAUUCAACAAACAGAAGGUUAUGUGAAGUAAUUUGGUGGUUGCAGCUAACGCGUUAAAUCUUCCGCCUGAGGAGUACGACCGCAAGGUUAAAACUCAAAGGAAUAGACGGGGGCCCAUACAAGUGGUGGAACAUGUGGUUUAAUUCGAAACAACGCGCAAAACCUUACCAGCCCUUGACAUAAGUUUGGUGCAAGCACCUUGAUUCUAUUUGUGUAAGCAGCUAGAAAUUCAAUUUACAGGCGUUGCAUGGCUGUCGUCAGCUCGUGUCGUAAACCAAGUCAAACUUGCGACCUUUUAGAGUGAUCUAAUCGUACAAGGGCAAUUAUAUAGAAUUAUGUGCAAAUCCCUGUGCUUGCAGCACGCACUACGACCUAUUGUAUUGUGCAGGUAGGCGCGUGCUGCCAGCACAAAAGCAAGCAAGAAGUAGCUGCCUCUUAACAAAAGCUAGCGACGGCUAGCUUGAACUCUCAACAUCGGCAACAGACAAAAGAGCCGGCAAUAAAUAGCGCAUUAAACUAAGUUGCCUGAUCUGCAUAACUGUACCAACAAGGCUGGUGUGCAGGUAACCUUACCAACUGUGCUAGUCAGGUUUUCAACUAAUAAGUGGUAAAUCUGGAGAGGACACUUGCACGACGACCUUUAUCACCUCCAUUACUCCCGUUACCACCGUAAAAGGUCGGGGCCGGGAUCGAAGUCGAGGUCAAUAUGCAAGUCAUGCAAACCACUUUGGUUAAGGUUGUAAAGCAAUUGGCUUGCUAUGAUAGCACAGAUUUUAUACUGACU
rnacentral:ncRNA from 1 species